CCUUGGUGACUGUAGUGUGCAAGAUUGUGUGCGGUUUGGUUUCUAAUCUUUCAUUUCUUUCCAACAUGAAAAAAUAACCUUCCUCAGGCAAGAAAAAAACAUUGUACUUGGGGAGUUGCCUUUGAUCAAAGAAAGGGGUAAUAGCUCUUUCCUGAAAAUGGUGACAAGAAUGAAAAAUGGAAAGAAAGAUCUAUUUUAACUAGAAGUAAUGAUUUUGGGGGAGGAAUAGGGAGAGUAUAUGUGAGGAAACAAGGAAGGAAACUGAGAGUAACAGUCACUGAUGCCAGUUUGUGAAAGGGAUGAGGCUGACCAACAUGCCUUGAGGCCAUAUCAGAAAAUUUUAGUUUUCAUAUAAAAUAUUUACAUUUCCAUCUUUUUUUCCUAUAUUAUGAGGGUAAUCAAAAGAAGAAUUUUGGCUUUGUACAGAAUUUUCCUACAUAUUGAUGAAGUAAAAAUGCCAAGUAUAUUCACAUUUUCAAGGUUUUACUGAGAAUAAAGUUUAUACCUAGAAAUGAUUUUAAUACAAGCAAUGGGCUAUCCUAGGAAAACAAAACGGAGAGAGAUGGUCUAACAGGAAUGAUGUAGCAGAAUUAACAUAAAUGCUGCUAUGCUUUGGUUCUGUGUCCCCACCCAUUAUCACGUGUUGAGGGAGGGAAGUGAUAGGAUUAUGGGGGGGUGGGUGGUUUCUCCCAUGCUGUUCUCGUGAUAGCGAGUCUCACGAAAUCUUUUGGUUUUAAAAGAGGCAGUUUUUUCCUGUGCUCCUACUUCCCUCUCUUCUGUCACCUUGUGAAGAAGGUGCCUGCUUCCUCUUCACCUUCCGCCAUGAUUGUCAGCUUCCUGAGGCCACCCCAGACAUGCAGAGCUGUCUGAAGUCUCAGUGGGCUCAACCAGCUCCCCUGUUCAACAUCCGGCAAGGUCCAAACGAAGGUGACAAUCAACAGGGAUCUUAUUGGGAAGCUCUGAUGGUGUCAGAAGUGGGAUCUGAAGUAGAGCCUUAACAAUCUCCAGGACUGCUGAGUGAACAAGCAAGGUACCUGCAAGGACCUACUUUUGUCCCUUGAUCUCUCAAAGUGGCUGGGGAUCAUGGUGAAGCCCCCUCAUGCAUAGUAAAGCAGAGAGGAAUGUAAAAGGUUGCUGCAUCGAUAAUCAAUUUCUGAUGGAGUCUCACUCAGUCGCCCAGGCUGGAGUGCAGUGGUGUGAUCUCGGCUUCCCAGGUUCACACCAUUCUCCUGCCUCAGCCUCCCAAGUAGCUGGGACUACAGGUGCCCGCCACCACGCCUGGCUAAUUUUUUGUGUUUUUAAUAGAGACAGGGUUUCACCGUGUUAGCCAGGAUGGUCUCGAUCUCCUGACUUUGUGAUCCACCUGUCUCAGCCUCCCAAAGUCCUGAGAUUACAGGCAUGAGCCACCGCGCCUGGCCAAUAGCUUUGUUUACUUUUAUUGUGGGAUAUUGGUUUUUCACUACAGGCUGAUAUUGGCUUCAAAUUGUACCCUCAUAGAUUCUACAAACAGUGAGUUUUCAAGCAUCUGAAGCAAAAUAAAGGUUUAACUUUGUAAGAUGAAUCCUGCACAUUAUUGCUGGAUAUUCGGUUUUUCACUGUAGGCAUCAAUUUGCUCUGAAAUAUCCUAUUGAAGAUUUUACCAAAAGAGUAUUUCCAUCCUGC
rnacentral:lncRNA from 10 species